ensembl:snRNA U4 U4 spliceosomal RNA
AGCUUUCCACAAUGGCAACAUCAUAGCCAUUGAGGUUUAUCCAAGGUGUGAUUAUUGCUAAUUAAAAGAAUUCUACCAGGUAUAUUUGUUCUUUUUUAUAAG